rnacentral:rRNA from 1 species
AGGAUGAACGCUGGCGGCGUGCCUAAGACAUGCAAGUCGAGUGGGUUUAGACCCACGGCGAACGGGUGAGUAAUACCUAGGAACUUUCUUUAAGUGGAGCAUAACCAGUCGAAAGAUUGGAUAAUACUUCAUGUGAUAGCAAUAUCAAAGUCGCAAGACGCUUAAAGUGAGGCCUGGGCACCAUCAGCUAGUUGGUAAGGUAACGGCUUACCAAGGCUAUGACGGUUAGGGGUCCCGAGAGGGAUAACCCCCACACUGGAACUGCGACACGGUCCAGACUCCUACGGGAGGCAGCAGUUUGGAAUUUUGGACAAUGGGCGAAAGCCUGAUCCAGCGACGCCGCGUGGACGAUGAAGGCCUUCGGGUCGUAAAGUCCUUUUGCUCGGGAACAAUAUUUUGAGCGUACCGAGAGAAUAAGAGGUUGCUAACUCUGCGCCAGCAGCCGC